CCCAGGUCCAUUGCUCCUGACCACGCUGCUUGGUCCUUUGGUGGUGGGAUCUUCAGUAACGAUCGUCGUAAAGAGGAGACCAAGGUGCAGCGUGGAAAGUGCUCAUGUUUACUUUUAUUUAACUCGGUACACUAAACAAAAUAAGGUGCUUCUACACCUGCAUUGCUUGCUGUUUGGGGUUUUAGGCUGGGUUUCUGUACAGCACUUUGAGAUAUCAGCUGAUGUAAGAAGGGCUAUAUAAAUAAAUUUGAUUUAAUUUAAUGAAAAGGAAUACGAACAGGCUUACACAGAGCUGUACAAAAACAAGAUCCCACAACUGAAGGUGGGAAAAAGGGCUGCCUAAGUAUGAUUCCCAAUCAGAGACAACGAUAGACAGCUGCCUCUAAUUAGGAACCAUACUCGGCCAAACAAAGAAAUAUGACAUAGAAUGCCCACCCCAUAUCACACCCUGACCUAACCAAACAGAGAAAAUGGCUCUCAGGUCAGGGCGUGACAUAGUUUAAAUACAUAGUUUAAAAUGAGUAUUGCAUUAGGACAAAUAAAGCAUCACUGAAUAGUUUGUCACAGUUUUUAUUGCAUUAAAAAGCUAAGCCAGAAUAAAGAUAAUGAAAUGCUAAAUAUAUUUAUAGGAGCAAUGUGAGUAUGACCCUAAUAUAACCUUCUAAAUGUUCAUUACUUAACUGAAUAUUGUUAGUUGUUUGGUCUCACAGUUGAUAAGAUACAGAGCAGCGUCCCUGGAUGGAGAGCAGUUUUAGGGUUUAAGUCCCGUGCUCAAGGGCACAAUGGCUGGAGGGGGUACCUGGAAUCAUAGACCAACAGUUCCCACAGUUCUGUUUUUAUACCCUGUCCGUGGAUUGAAUCAGCAACCUUCCGGCUACUGAUCAAGCAACCUUCCACCUCUCCGAAAGCCCAAUUUUUGCAGCUUCUGCACCGUCCGUUUAAACGAGAUUAUGCAUCGAAAGUUCGCUUCUGUCGGCACGUCUCUGCUUCUGCAUCUACACACCUUUUUCCAGCAUGACAUUAGCUUACAAAUGAUAUGUGAAGCUUCUAUGCAUGUAGUGUAGGACAUUAUGAAGGCAUUAUGAUAGAGUCAUGAAGGCUUUAUUAGAUAUAUCUGGUUUAAAAUGUGACUAUGUAGCUUCAAAGUAUACGUUUGCGUCUGUCUAAAAUUUCAGAAUCUGAUAUGAUGGAACGCUGAGAAGAGUCUAUGAUGUUCUUUUUCACUCUCAAUGUCUGAUCUGCACCCUCUGUACUUAUGAAGAUCUCAGUUUCAGAGCUAAAACGUGAAGGCUCCUCCAUGCGUUUUCAAUGUUUGCGUUUGUAAAUAAUCUUUGUCACCUGCUCAGUCAGAAAAGGGUUCUGCCUCGAGUUUCACCCCAUUAGCCAUAUUUAGGCCUUCGUCACACAUACGUUGUUAGUGCGAUAUAAACAAUUCAAUAACAAAAUAUACAUUGUGCAGUGUAAUAACAUGCAGUCUUCAUAUAAUGAAAUGAAUAAUUUACCUGAAGGAAGCAGGUACGAUAGGAUUACCCUUGGGCUAGUGCUCUUUGAUCGUAAAGAGGUGUAAAUGUUGACUCAAACAAGAAGCUUUUAUAGAAACCUGUUGUCAUGGCUGUACAGCUGUGUUCAUGAUUG
rnacentral:lncRNA from 1 species